rnacentral:rRNA from 1 species
GAUGAACGCUGGCGGCGUGCCUAAUACAUGCAAGUCGAGCGAACGGACGAGAAGCUUGCUUUUCUGAUGUUAGCGGCGGACGGGUGAGUAACACGUGGAUAACCUACCUAUAAGACUGGGAUAACUUCGGGAAACCGGAGCUAAUACCGGAUAAUAUUUUGAACCGCAUGGUUCAAAAGUGAAAGACGGUCUUGCUGUCACUUAUAGAUGGAUCCGCGCUGCAUUAGCUAGUUGGUACGGUAACGGCUUACCAAGGCAACGAUGCAUAGCCGACCUGAGAGGGUGAUCGGCCACACUGGAACUGAGACACGGUCCAGACUCCUACGGGAGGCAGCAGUAGGGAAUCUUCCGCAAUGGGCGAAAGCCUGACGGAGCAACGCCGCGUGAGUGAUGAAGGUCUUCGGAUCGUAAAACUCUGUUAUUAGGGAAGAACAUAUGUGUAAGUAACUGUGCACAUCUUGACGGUACCUAAUCAGAAAGCCACGGCUAACUACGUG